rnacentral:tRNA from 1 species
GGAGAAAUGCCAGAGCUGGUGAUUGGGGCAGUUUGCUAAACUGUAGUACGCUACAAGCGUACCGUGGGUUCGAGCCCCACUUUCUCCU